GUCCAGGACCGCCCAGCUAAGCCU
rnacentral:siRNA from 1 species